UACGUAGGGAGCAAGCGUUAUCCGGAAUCACUGGGCGUAAAGCGUUCGUAGGCGGGUAUUUAAGUGAGAUGUGAAAGCGUGUGGCUCAACCAUAUCGUUGUGUCUCAUACUGGGUACCUGGAGGAAGGCAGAGGCAAGUGGAAUUGGCAGUGUAGCAGUGAAAUGCGUAGAGAUUGCCAGGAACACCAAUGGCGAAGGCAGCUUGCUGGGCCGACCCUGACGCUGAGGUACGAAAGCGUGGGGAGCGAACAGG
rnacentral:rRNA from 1 species